UGUAACACUGAGUACUUUAGACACAGUUUGCCAUUUUGUCAUGACAACUGCUAUGAGGUUUGGUAUUAUCCUUGUGUUACAGAUGGGGCUGAGAAAAUCAAAUAACAUGAAUGAGUUCUGCCACUGGUCAAGCACAGGAACUGACAUCAAAAGCGAGUCUGUUGGGCACUGAAGCACACGUCCUUUCUUCUCUUGCUGGGCUUCCUCAUGGCUUGUUGGUCCAAGAGCAGACAAUACCAAGAAGAUCCUAGAAGAGGCUAAGCCACAUAGGAUGCAAUUCCAAACUGAAAAGUCACUCUUUCCAGGAGAAGAGUGGGCAGUGGGCAGAGAGAAGCCAGGACCAGGAGACUAAUUCUGAUAGAGAGGAAAUUUGGACAUACAUGGAGACACCUAGAAGGCACGGAUACAGAGGGAAGACCAUGUGAGGACACCCCAAGAAGGCAGCCAUCUGCAAGCCAAGGAGAGAGGUCUCAGAAGAAAUCAAAACUACUGACACCUUGAUCUUGGCCUUCUAGCCUCGAGAACGGUGGGAAAUAAACUUCUGUUUUUUAAGCCACCCGGUCUGUGGUAUUUUGUUAUGGCAGUCAUAGCAAACUAACAUAAU